GUUUCUUCUGCCUGUAGAAGCUCCAUUUUCCUUCCUAUCUCCUCUGGCACAAGGCAUGGUGUGUGGCCAGUAUUGAUUCCUGCUUUCUACUCUUCAAUUUUUGUAGAAAUAGGGAGAGUCACUCCUUCUACAUGCAUAUGGUUCCUGGAAGGUGAAAUUUUAAUGUAAACCUUUGUGAGAUAUUCACUUCUGAAUGACAAAGGAAAGAUGUCUUCUUCUAAGGGUCUAUUGACUUUCAUGGAUGUGGCUAUAGAGUUCUCUAAGGAGGAAUGGGAAUGUCUGGAUUCUGCCCAGAGAGCUUUGUACAGAGAUGUCAUGUUGGAGAAUUACAAAAACCUGGUUUUUGUGGGUGUUGCUGUUUCAAAGUCAGAGGUAAUCUUCUGUCUAGAACAAAACAGAGAAACAUGGAUUGUUGAUAGAGAAGAUAUGGAAGGAAAAAAACAGGUCUGUCAUGUGAUUAUACCAAGAAGCUACUCCUCAAAGGACAUACACAGAAUUGCAUCCACAACAAAAUAACACGAAGAUUUGUAUGCAGUACACUUUCAGAUCUAUAUCAAAACAAGUUCUGGGAAUAUAGAUGUGAUAGUACAGAGUAUGAACUAUUUGAUUAUGGAAGGGGUCAAUUGGAAAAGCACAUCUUUUUCAUUUCUGAAAAUUAUCAAAAAGCCCUAACUUCCCCUGAAAGAAGUCAGCCUUGUUUACACUCAUUUUCACAACUGGAGGAUUCUCAAGGAAAUAAUUCACAAGAUUUGAAACAUAACAUUAUUUUUCACGGAAAUACACAAACAUUACAAAGUGACAUUUGGAAGAAUAAAUUGUGUUUCCUGAUUUAUAUAUUACAGAAUAUGAGAUUAAACAGUGCUUUGGUGAUUUAUGAUCAAAAGAGAUUGUGGAGCAGAGAAAAAGGUACUGAAUAUCAUCAAGGUGAAGGAAACUUCUCUCAAAAUUUAUGGCAGUUCCCAAAACAAAACCUACUCAGUGACAAGUUAUACAAUGUAGAUCAACAUAAGAAAGAAUCUAUGAAUGCAAUGAAUCAUGGAAGAUAUAAUGUGAGAGGUAAUUUUAAAAGCUCUCACAGAAUAAUUGAUAUUAAUAUAGGCUAUGUUAAGAAUCAUUUACUAAUGUAUUAAAAAACCAAUCAAUAUAGAGAGAUAUUAUAUCAAGAUAAUGCCAUAUUAGAAGAUGCUAUUUGUAAAACAAAUCUAAGUGAAAAUCAGAUAAGCAGCUUUAUUCCAGAAUAUCAUUAUAGCAAGCAUAGAAAAAUGGCUCUGUCUAAUCACUGCUCCCAGUCUUCUUUGCAACAGUAUAACAUACAAAAACUUUGUAUAAAUGAAAACAAGAAUGCCAUUUUAAGUGAAUCUUCAAUUCAUAGCUGUUAUACUGGACCAUGGAUAAAUGGAGAGUCUAAGAGAUACCUGUAUGAAACAUAUAGGGAUGCCUCAAAUGAACCAUUAAGCUUUGAGAGGCCACAGAAAGCAAAUAAAUGUAAUAAGUAUGGGAAAUCAUUUAUCCAGUCCUCAAAUCUUCAAGCUUAUAAUAGAAUUCCUACCCAAGAGACACCUUACAAAUGUAAUGAAUGUGGAAAAUUCUUUACCUGCUCCUCAAGUCUUAAAGCUUACCAUGAAAACUUUAAAGGAGAAAGACUUCAUAAAUUUAGUAACUGUGGAAAAUCAUUUUCACAGUCCUCAAAAUUUCAAGUUCACUACAGAAUUCACCCAGGAGAGAAACCUUACAAAUGUAACAAAUGUGGGAAAUUUUUUACACAGAACUCAGACCUUAAAGUUCACUACAGAAUCCAUACAAGAGAGAAGCCUUACAAAUGUAAUAAAUGUCGGAAAUCUUUUCCACGGAACUCAGAGCUUAAAGUUCACCACAGAAUCCAUACUGGAGAGAAGCCUUACAAAUGUAAUGAAUGUGGCAAAUCUUUUACAUGGAACAAAGUACUUAAAGUUCAUUACAGAAUCCAUACAGGUGAGAAACCUUACAAAUGUAAUGAAUGUGGGAAAUCUUUUACAAAAUCCUAAAAACUUCAAGUUCACUACAGAAUCCACACAGGAGAGAAACCGUACAGAUGUAAUGAAUGUGGGAAAUCUUUUACACAGAACUCAGGAUUUAAUGUUCACUACAGAACCCACACAGGAGAGAAACCUUACAAAUGUAAUGAAUGUGGGAAAUCUUUUACAAGGAACACAGACUUUAAAGUUCACUAUAGAAUCCACACAGGAGAGAAACCUUACAAAUGUAAUGAACGUGGCAAAUCUUUUACACAGAACCACAUGCUUAAAGUUCACUACAGAAUCCACACAGGAGAGAACCCUUAAAAAUGAAUGUGGCCAAUCUUUUGUACAGCAGUCAGAGUUUAAAUAUCACUACAGAAUGCAUACAGGAGAGAAGCCUUAGAAAUAUAAUGAAUGUGGCAAAUCCAUUACACAACACUCAGAUCAUAAAGCUCACCACAGAAUCCUUACUGGAAAGAAACCUUACAAAUGAAAUGAAGGUGGCAUAUCAUUCACUAACUCUCCAAGUCUUUAUAUUCACUACAGAAUCCACACAAGAGAUAAACCCUACAAACGUGGACUGUGUUGCAAUCUUUUACCUGGUCCUCCACUUUCCAAUUCCAUCAAUUAACCCAUACUGGAAAACAAACUUGUAAGUUUAGUAACUGUGGUAAAUACUUUUCCCUGUCCUCAAAUCUUCAAUAUCACCUCAAAAUACAAACUAGAGACAACCUUACUAAUGUAAGGAAUGUGGAAAAUCCUUGAUAUGGAAAUAAUGCCUUCAAAGACAACCCAGCAUGCAUCCUGGAGAGAAAUAUUACAAAUAUAUAGGACAUGCCAAAUAUAUUAGCCCAACCUCAAUGCUUUGAGCCCAUAGAUCCAUGCAUGGAGAUAACUUAAUAGAAAAAUUAUUGUCCCAACAUUCAUAAGGAAACAUUAUUUAAAAUG
rnacentral:lncRNA from 1 species